GGGGAUGUAGCUCAGAUGGUA
rnacentral:ncRNA from 3 species